rnacentral:rRNA from 1 species
ACAAGGUUUCCGUAGGUGAACCUGCGGAAGGAUCAUUACCACACCUAAAAAACUUUCCACGUGAACCGUUUCAACCCAAUAGUUGGGGGUCUUAUUUGGCGGCGGCUGCUGGCUUAAUUGCUGGCGGCUGCUGCUGAGUGAGCCCUAUCAAAAAAAAAGGCGAACGUUUGGGCUUCGGCCUGAUUUAGUAGUCUUUUUUUUCUUUUAAACCCAUUCCUUAAUACUGAAUAUACUGUGGGGACGAAAGUCUCUGCUUUUAACUAGAUAGCAACUUUCAGCAGUGGAUGUCUAGGCUCGCACAUCGAUGAAGAACGCUGCGAACUGCGAUACGUAAUGCGAAUUGCAGGAUUCAGUGAGUCAUCGAAAUUUUGAACGCAUAUUGCACUUCCGGGUUAGUCCUGGAAGUAUGCCUGUAUCAGUGUCCGUACAUUAAACUUGACUUUCUUCCUUCCGUGUAGUCGGUGGAGGAGAUGUCAGAUGUGAAGUGUCUUGCGAUUGGUCUUCGGACCGGCUGCGAGUCCUUUUAAAUGUACUAAACUGAACUUCUCUUUGCUCGAAAAGUGGUGGCGUUGCUGGUUGUGAAGGCUGCUAUUGUGGCAAAUUGGCGACUGGUUUGUCUGCUGCGGCGUUAAUGGAAGAGUGUUCGAUUCGUGGUAUGGUUGGCUUCGGCUGAACAAUGCACUUAUUGGACGUUUUUCCUGCUGUGGCGUGAUGGACUGGUGAACCAUAGCUCGGUGGCUUGGCUUUUGAAUUGGCUUUGCUGUUGCGAAGUAGGGUGGCAGCUUCGGUUGUCGAGGGUCGAUCCAUUUGGGAACUUAAUGUGUACUUCGGUAUGCAUCUCAAUUGGACCUGAUAUCAGGCAAGAUUACCCGCUGAACUUAAGC